rnacentral:sRNA from 1 species
CUUCAUGGAAAAAUGUUAGAUAAUGCCAGGUCCAGGAUAACAAAAUGGAUCAAAGAGGGCGGUAGUUUUGUUUUAGCUACCAAAUCACUUUGCCUGCCUUUCAUAGUCGCAAUAAUAAUUUUCUGAACGUAUAAUUUGACACGGCAGCUAGUUACAUGCCUUGUAUUAACUUAGAGCUUUAACGCUACCAGAAAUGCCAAGAAAUUGAAGUUGACCUCCACAAGAGACUAAACUUAUUACUUUGUAGCAAAGGGGAUAAGCUUUGACGUUAAAGAAAAAAAAAGAAUGUAAAUCUAUAUGUAGUUUGUAAUAGAUAUAGCGAACUAGUUUGUACAUUUAAUGUGCAUUCGGAACUAUAAUUGAACACCUUAGUGUUAGUGUUAGGAAGAUACCCGGACCAACGCAGAGGUUGAGUUUUGGAUGUAGACCUAUCUCAGGAGACAGAGCACAGACGUCGCAAGCGUAAACUAAAAGCUAGAAAAAGACGGCUCAACAGACCGUGGAUUCAUUUACCGCAACGCAUGUAUGUAGUCUACGAAUGGUACAAGAGGUGUCGUAGGUAUAUCACCAUGAAUGUUGUCAGACAGUCAGAGCGUCAGAGACAAGAGG